AGUGAACGCUGGCGGUAGGCCUAACACAUGCAAGUCGAACGGCAGCACAGUAAGAGCUUGCUCUUACGGGUGGCGAGUGGCGGACGGGUGAGGAAUACAUCGGAAUCUACUUUUUCGUGGGGGAUAACGUAGGUAAACUUACUCUAAUACCGCAUACGACCUACGGUUGAAAGCAGGGGAUCUUCGGACCUUGCGCGAUUGAAUGAGCCGAUGUCGGAUUAGCUAGUUGGCGGGGUAAAGGCCCACCAAGUCGACGAUCCGUAGCUGGUCUGAGAGGAUGAUCAGCCACACUGGAACUGAGACACGGUCCAGACUACUACGGGAGGCAGCAGUGGGGAAUAUUGGACAAUGGGCGCAAGCCUGAUCCAGCCAUACCGCGUGGGUGAAGAAGGCCUUCGGGUUGUAAAGACCUUUUGUUGGGAAAGAAAAGCAGCAGGUUAAUACCACGCUGUUCUGACGGUACCCAAAGAAUAAGCACCGGCUAACUUCGUG
rnacentral:rRNA from 1 species